UACACAAAUACAAAUUCUCUCUUUUGUCUAUGGUUCUUCAUUCUUGUAAUCUUUCGAUUGAAAUAGUUUCGGAUCAAUAUAUAUUGAAGAUGACUUUUUCAUAAUUGGUAGUAUUUGAUUUCUUAAUCCGUACUUGCAAAGCAUGUUGUCAUAGUGUCAGUCAUGUUGUUUCGCCUUACGUCAGGCAAGUGACGGCCACACGCGCGCGUUAGUUGUCACAUCUUUUUUGCCGCCUAACAUGUCUCUUUCUCAUUGGGCUUGCGCUGCAAGUAGGAGGCACGGUUACUCAUCGCAUUAAAUGUGAUGGGUAUAAAUAGAAAACUUAGGGUUGAAGAGAAUCACUUUCUUGUUGCAUUUCCCUUGAAUUCCCUUUCGACCUUUAAACUUCCCUACACUUUCUUCGAAGAUCUGCAUAUUUUUUCUGCUAAUGUCUACAUUAUCUCUUCCUGAGGACAUCGUCGAUAUCGAAGAGGUGGUCGGAGGUGUGCCUCCGAUCAAGUGGACGGACCUUCAUUUGAGCAGAUUGUACAUGGCCCCAGAUUCCUGGAUCUUUGGGGAGCGACGUAUCCAUCUCAAGGUCAGAUUGCAGCCGAUGCUCCGAUCGAUUACAUUACCCUGUACUCCAUUUUCUUCCACGCCGGUAACUUUCGAUUACCGGCGACCAACUUCCUUGGGGAAUUACUGACCUUUUAUUGGUUCCACAUUUCUCAGUUAAGCUGUAACACCUUGUAAAUUCGUGUCCGGUAAUGUGAUGACACGUGUCCCUAUUCCCAAUUGUGCCUAAUGUUGGCCGGGAGGGACUAAUUUUGCCAAUUGUAGAAAGUAUGAAUGUGGAAGGACUAAAGGUGUCAACAUGCUGAAACUAUGCCUCUGAGUGACCCUUUACGGAUCACGAACUUGAUACUAUACGAUCAUGUCCAUACUCUCAAAUGAGCCAAUUAUUUGGACAAGAGGGACCAUUAUUAACAAUUUAUGAAAGUUGGAAAGUGGAGGGACCAAAGAUGACAAAUUAUAAAAUUUUUGAACUUGGUUCGUCGUCUACAGACCGUAGAGAACUACUCCAUAUGGUUCGCAAGGAGGCGGUUAAGCUUGAUGCGCCUGAAAUCCUCUACGGACCGCAAAGGGUAUACCCUCACGGUCCGUAAGGAGGCGGUAAAGCUUUUGCUACUAACAAUUAGCUACAUGAUGUUAAAUGACAUAUAUAAUAUUUUUUUAUUUAUUUUAUAUGUGGAAUCUAUUUAUUUUCAAAGCAUAACAUAUUUUUUAUAUUUUUUUUCUCUAUGUGCGUUUUUCUUAAAAAAGCUCACGCUUUUUUGCGCCUUGCGCCUAGGCUUCGGGCGAGGCUGAUGCGCCUCGCCUGCGUCUUGCGUCUUUGACAACAUAGAAUAGGACGGAUUUGGUUCCAACAUAUGUGAGGCUGCUUCGAGAUAAUGAAUCCGAAGUACGUAUUGCAGCUGCAGGUAAAGUCACAAAAUUCUCUCGCUUUCUUAGUCUGGAACUUGUUGUUCAACAUAUUCUUCCAUGUGUCAAGGAAUUGUUCAGGUUCUUCUUAGCAUGUUAGGAAACGAGAACAAUUCUUAGUUUGGUUGUUCAUGCAGAUUGAUUGAACCCAAAGACGUGUAAUGAACUCAUUCGAUACACAUGAAGAUACACAAAAAGUGCCUGUUACAGACAUCUGCUAUCUACGUAUAAUUUAAUGUUAUCAUACCGAACCGCACCAUACCGGGUAUUUUUGGUACCGGUACCCAUUUUUUGGGAUUUUUCGGUACCGGGUAAUACUUUUUUUUUUUGUCAUUUAUACGAUGUGGAAUGCAAUCUAAAAAGGUUGGUUUUUUUUUUUUCCUCAUAAGGUAACAUUGCCAAUGAUCCUUUAGUUACAAACUUUUGGGUCUCAGUUGACUCUUUGUAAAACAGACAGAUUAGAUAGUCAAUUUCAAAGUUUUAUAUUGUUACAUAUAAUAUUUUUACUGUGGACAAAUAUUCGUACUUAGAGAAGUAGGUUGAAGACAUACAUUUGGCUAUACCUUUGACAGCCCAUGGAUUCAAAGUGUCAAGAGAAUCGGUGGAGUGAAAACCAACAAAUUAUAACUGUUUGUGGGAUUUUUCAGCCUAAGAUCUAAUACUUGGCUUUAUAUUAUGCCAAUAAUAUGGUUGGUUGAGACGAGUAGGUAAUGGGUCAAAUAGGGUUUAGGAUGAAACAAGUCAACUUUAAGAUCGGGCGAUAUGUAAUUAUUAAUAAACGAUUGAUAAAUACGAUGUGCAUUUAUUCUUUAUUUUUUUUAAAUUGAAUUUAUUUUCAUUUUUUUAAUUGUAAUUCUAUGUGUUUGUCUAUGUUAUUGCAGAUUCUCCAACUUAAAGGUCCAAACUUUGUAUCCAUAGCAAAUGAUGAUUUGAUGCUCUUCAAUAUGUGGCUGUUAAUGAAAAGCUAAGAACUCAAGAUAGAAUUAUCUGAUGGAGCAGGUUGGUGUUGGUGUUUUAAGUUGUGGUUUUUGUAAUCAGCAAUUAGAUAGUCAUGGUCGCUAUGUUUAUGAUUUAUGAAGUGACUUCAAGGAUAUCAAAUUUUAGGGGUUUGUUAAAUCAUAAAGGAGUUGCAUCUACAACAUUGGAUGUAACGGAGGUGCUACACCAACUGGACUAAGAUCAUGUUACUUUCAGUAAAUUGUAAAUAUAACAUUAUUUGUCUUAUUUCUUGAU